rnacentral:rRNA from 1 species
UCGUCACACUAUCAUUAACUGAAUCCAUAGGUUAAUGAGGCGAACCGGGGGAACUGAAACAUCUAAGUACCCCGAGGAAAAGAAAUCAACCGAGAUUCCCCCAGUAGCGGCGAGCGAACGGGGAGGAGCCCAGAGCCUGAAUCAGCAUGUGUGUUAGUGGAAGCGUCUGGAAAGGCGCGCGAUACAGGGUGACAGCCCCGUACACAAAAGCGCAUGUGCUGUGAGCUCGAUGAGUAGGGCGGGACACGUGGUAUCCUGUCUGAAUAUGGGGGGACCAUCCUCCAAGGCUAAAUACUCCUGACUGACCGAUAGUGAACCAGUACCGUGAGGGAAAGGCGAAAAGAACCCCGGCGAGGGGAGUGAAAAAGAACCUGAAACCGUGUACGUACAAGCAGUGGGAGCACAGGUUUACCUGUGUGACUGCGUACC